rnacentral:rRNA from 1 species
CGCUAGCGGGAGGCCUAACACAUGCAAGUCGAACGGGAUUGAGAGCUUGCUCUCAUGAGAGUGGCGCACGGGUGAGUAACGCGUAUGCAACCUACCUAUAACUGAGGGAUAGCCCAUAGAAAUGUGGAUUAAUACCUCAUAGUUCUUUUGUUCCGCAUGGGAUGAAAGAUAAAGCUGCGGCGGUUAUAGAUGGGCAUGCGUGACAUUAGCUAGUUGGUAAGGUAACGGCUUACCAAGGCUACGAUGUCUAGGGGUUCUGAGAGGAUGAUCCCCCACACUGGUACUGAGACACGGACCAGACUCCUACGGGAGGCAGCAGUGAGGAAUAUUGGUCAAUGGGCGCAAGCCUGAACCAGCCAUCCCGCGUGCAGGAUGAAGGCCCUAUGGGUCGUAAACUGCUUUUAUACACCAAGAAAAACACCCA